CUGUACUCUCUACCCUAUGCCUCCAAGCUCUUUCAUGAGGCCUUAACAUUUCCCUGCCUCCUGAAGCCUGUGCACUGUCCAGGAGGCCUGUGCCAUGCUUCGGGUCCAUAACCACCUCACUGUCCCUACACGGAAAGUUGGAAACUGCACUGGUGGUGAUCCACAACUGGCUCCUGUCCAAGGGACGUGUUCAUGGUGUUCACUGAGAUGCCAGUGCCCAGAGCACUCUGCCUCAGUUCUGUGCUUGCUGCAUCUCGUAAGUGUAAUUUAUAAUUCCGUGUUUUUUUUUGGAUUAAGCGGUCCAGUUAUAUGUUUUUGUCAAGCUAUUUGACUUCCCUAUGUUUAGCGCCUUCUAAUCAUCUAACAGUUCUACGAGACAAGGAGCAAUAUUAUAUAGGGCUACAUUAUCCAUACAGAUUCUUCGUUUUCAAUUGGUAUUUGGACCAUGAUGUGUGAGCAGUAGAUGAUGAAACAAGGGGAAGAGAGUAACAGUAUAUAGUAAAAAGUUUGUGAGGAAUAAGAGAAACUGUUUCAGUAUAAGCACCUACCUAAUAGUAUUGCACUCCUGUUGCAUGCACUUACAACACUCGACAGCUUUAUUUUCGAGUGUGUUUCUUGUGUUCAUCUUUUGUUCUCCUUUAUAUUUGUCCAUUGGACCUCCCUUAAUACAUGACAUCCACUAGUCUUCCACAUUUCUAACGCUAUUGACAACACUCUUUUGGGAUAAAGUAAUUGGAGUCAUGGACAUGGAUUUGAUGUCUGAUUAAAAAUAGUAAUUGGAGACAUGAACAUGGAUUUGAUGUCUGGUUCAAACUAGUAAUCGAAGUCAUGAACAUGGAUUUGAUGUCCGGUUCAAACUAGUCUUCAAGAAGAAGCUAUCUGUUUCUACUGUUGCUGAUUAGAAUGACGAACCUAUUGUGGAUAUUAUUAAGUCAGCUGCCAAAUCUGAAGAGAGCAACCUUUCGUUAUUGAAUAAGAAAGAUCGAUUUGUUCGCUCAGAAGGUUGUAUUGGUUUUCACUAAUCUUUAUCAAUUUUCGUUAUACAUGGGCAUUGCCUUUCUCCAUAUAUGAGAGUGUGUUCUGCAGCUUUUUUCUGCUUAUGUCACUCCACUUUGGUCAACAUUUGGAUGAGAACAUGUUGCUGAAUCAGCAGGCCGCGUUACACCUGUAUUGUGUUGUGCAGGCAAGAUAACUCAAUUCCUGAUCAAGGUGUUUAUUUCUUUUAUCUUCUUAGUUAUCUAGCUAUGGUUCUCAACUUGUAAGUUCUUAGUACGAAAAAAAUGCUGCCCUUGAUUAUAUCAAAUGUCAUUUGAAUCUAUCAUUUAUCACUGCUUCGUUUUGAAAUUCCUGUCGAACGCAUAAAUCUAUGGGAUAUGGUAUAACAUUAUUAUGAUCCACUUGAAAAUUCGAAAAUAUGUAGUCCUAUGCUCUCCCAGUUGAAACUCUUACUUUGGUCUUAAAUAUAUGUUGGCUGUUGGGUUACCAUUUUCUAAAGAAAUGUUGGGUCACCAUUCGCUAAGAGGUAGUUGUUCUUUGGAAGGUUAGUUUCAAUAAUGUUGAAGCUGGAUCAUAAGUUCUUGUCAACCAACUGUGGUAUCUUGAAGACCUUGGUUAGGCUGCAACACAUCUUCGGUUGGAAACUGACAUGUUGGAUAUUCAUGCUGCUGUUGCCCUUGCUGUUGUGGCAAUUCCAGAAGGUCUCCUAGCUGUAGUAACAACGUGCUUAGCUCUUGCUACCAAGAGAAUGGCUGGCUUGAAUGCAAUUGUCAGGUCUUUGCCCUCUGUGUAGACACGACAGUUAUUUGCAGUGACAAAACUGGUACUCUUACGACAAACAUGAUGUCUGUGUCCAAGGUGAAUAUUCCAGUUUAUAGCGCCAUUUAUCAUUUAGGUGGCCUUUUUCAUUUUAUUUUCCUUUUUGAAAGAAUAAGCACGCGGUGGGAUUUAACUAAAAUACAAUACGCAUUUGAGAUGAUAGUCUUUUUUUACACUGAAGAUUAUAGUCUUUUUUUUUACAUUGAAGAUUAAAGUCUGUUACACUUGGCCAAUAUAGU